AAUAUAGUUGAAAAAAGAAAUUAAACAAAACAAAGCAAAACAAACAAACAAAAAAAAAAAACAAGACAACGGCACAGUGGCUCUACAAGUCUAGACUUCGAGAAAGAUUCGCUCAAGCAUGAAGGCGUUCAAGAAGAAUUUAACCAGGCAGGGCUGGGCAAAAAUGCACAUGAAUGCUCAACAAGAAGCCUGAAUUGUUGUAAUUUAAUUCUGCAGAAAUUUCAGGUGUGACGGGCAGCCAGACCAAAAAGAGGCAGCAGACUGGAGGAGGCCUUGUCUGGUAAACCUAGAGAUUUCCAGUUUGUGUGAAAUGUGACACAUCGUGUUUUACGGGGACCAAAAAAGAAAUUCCUGCCUUUCUUAUGUCUGAAUGACUUAACGAUCCCGCCUGACGUUCUAGUCCUCUUCUCCCAGGCCAAACAGUGAGGAUGAAUGCAGAGCUGAUUCUAAAUAAGAAACUGACUUAGGGGGCAGCCUGGGUGGCUCAGCAGUUUAGCGCCUACCUUUGGCCCAAGGCGUGAACCUGGAGUCCCGGGAUGGAGUCCCUCGUCGCGGU